ensembl:lncRNA
GGCCCCGACAGUGGGGAGGGGAGGGACCGGACCGAGAUCGCUUUGCUCACGAGCGCCAUCUGCCGAGCCUGCGCGGGAAAUGCGUGAAUAUCCGGCACAAUGCAGGUUACUCACCCCCAGGAAGGGACAGAUCCACAGGUGGGGGUCUGUACCCGAGAGACCACUAUCUUCAGAGAACAGCCCUGGCUGUGACCCGGGAACUUUGCAACUCUGAAUUGUCUCGAAGAGUACUCAACAAAGAGAUCUGUCCCUGGAGACUGCUCUAGGCAGAGGAAGAGGCCGAGGGAGGCAGCGAAUGAAUUCCCAGGUUGUAAAGGAAAGAGGAAAGAGCAAGAAAGCUAUAAAGGAAGGAGAGGCCCUUGCCAGACAGACAAAAUCUCCAGAGCCUCUGUCUUGAACUUCCAGCCCUGAUUCAGCUGAAGCAGGGAGCCAAUGUCUGUCUGGAAACUGAACAAGAGCUGGUCCAAGUCCAUCAAGCUCUAGAGAAAGGACAUGCAUGAAGAUGAAGUGCUCUAUGGCAGAUGGGUGUAUGGCAGCAGGACCACAAAAUUCUCAGGUGGCAAAGGGCCAGAGACGAGGAUCAAGACAACAACCUGCUCUCUAAGCACACCCACUCUCCUUUGCCACUGCCACCAGACACUCUCCAGUCUUCCUAGACUAGCAUGGCCUUCUUUUGUCCUGUUUUGGGCAUAUUAUCUGAUUUCUCUGUCUUUCAAAUGUUUGUGUGUUUGUGUGUGCAUGUCAGGCUGGGGAAGCUGAAGUUACUUCUUUCCCAUUUUUCUGUGUUCAAAAUAGUCUUCAUGCAUAUUGUAUCCUGAAAAUCAGGGACACCUACAGCUUCCUCCUCUAUGGGAAUAAAGUAUGUCUCACACAGGGCUACAGGGGACUGAAGUAAAACAAUUGUGGGUGACACUCAUGGUUCUAGCAUGUGAGAUACAUUGUCUAGUGUAUUUCAUGGUCUGCUGGCACCUUCACAAUAGCCAGUGAGUUGGAUGCUAAGCCAUCUGUAUCGUCAGGGAGGAAACCAUAGUGGGUAAGAUGUUAAGGUGCGAAGCAUCACAAGACUCCUGAGUCAGGAUUCUGCCCCAGAGCCCAGACUCCAAACAUGUGAUUCAAAGGUGACCGUGGAGAAGCAUGCCAGGCACACACCUGAGCUCAUACACCUCAUUCUCGAGCUUGCUCUGGUAGUGAGCAAAUUCAGAUCCUCUUUUCUCUGUGCCCUGAGCACUGGGGUGCUCCUGAUUUCCACUCACCACUUUGAUGUCUCCAAAGCAGCAAGUCCUAAGGCCGCCUCGCUUCAGAAGACUCUCCAAACACACAUUACUUUGAGAUCUCUGCCAUUCUGAAAUCUGUCUCCAGAUGGUGUGACUGCUGCCCCUCUCCCGGUAACUCUGCAGACACUUCUAGUACACAACUCCAGGCUGGCAAGUUUUGAACUCCACGUACAUUCAGCCAUUUCUUAUAUUUAUUAAAUUGUUUGAUCAGCCUGAGGCUAUGCCUCCUUAUGACCAGGAUUUUGUUUGGUUUGAAGAAUGAAGCAUCUUCAACACCUGGAGAGUACCCAGUCAAAGUUUGCUAAGUGAAACAAGCCAGCUUUUACAUGGUCCCUUCUUCCCAGGCUGAGUUUUCUCCUCUGCGGCAUGCUGCAGCCAUGACAUACAGCACUGCUAUCGCAUUAAAGUACCAGGGUCAACUAACUGAUCAUGGACUGAAACAUCUGAAACUAUGACUCAAACCUUCAAGUUGCUCAUCUCAGUUACUCUGUCACAAUAGCAGAAAACUAACCAACACUCUCCCACCUUCUAG